AAGUCUGACGGAGCAACGCCGCGUGAGUGAUGAAGGCUUUCGGGUCGUAAAACUCUGUUGUUAGGGAAGAACAAGUGCUAGUUGAAUAAGCUGGCACCUUGACGGUACCUAACCAGAAAGCCACGGCUAACUACGUGCCAGCAGCCGCGGUAAUACGUAGGUGGCAAGCGUUAUCCGGAAUUAUUGGGCGUAAAGCGCGCGCAGGUGGUUUCUUAAGUCUGAUGUGAAAGCCCACGGCUCAACCGUGGAGGGUCAUUGGAAACUGGGAGACUUGAGUGCAGAAGAGGAAAGUGGAAUUCCAUGUGUAGCGGUGAAAUGCGUAGAGAUAUGGAGGAACACCAGUGGCGAAGGCGACUUUCUGGUCUGUAACUGACACUGAGGCGCGAAAGCGUGGGGAGCAAACAGGAUUAGAUACCCUGGUAGUCCNCGCCGUAAACGAUGANUGCUAAGUGUUAGAGGGUUUCCGCCCUUUAGUGCUGAAGUUAACGCAUUAAGCCACUCCGCCUGGGGAGUACGG
rnacentral:rRNA from 1 species